AUCACUUCUCUACUUUUUUGGCUAGGAUCAGUGAGUGUAGUAUCUGUUAUUAUCAGUUUAAUCUGAUACGCCUUAUCUGGUGGCCAUAUAUUAAAUGGAAUUUUUAGAUCGGGGACAUGAAAGAAGGGGUAGAUCUGUCCACUCCACGCAAUGAACUGGUUUUACAGUACCUCCAGGCCGGUGCAACCAAG